UACGUAGGGUGCAAGCGUUGUCCGGAAUUAUUGGGCGUAAAGAGCUCGUAGGCGGUUUGUCGCGUCUGCUGUGAAACCCGAGGCUCAACCUCGGGCCUGCAGUGGGUACGGGCAGACUAGAGUGCGGUAGGGGAGAUUGGAAUUCCUGGUGUAGCGGUGGAAUGCGCAGAGUAUCAGGAGGAACACCAAUGGCGAAGGCAGAUCUCUGGGCCGUAACUGACGCUGAGGAGCGAAAGCAUGGGGAGCGAACAGG
rnacentral:rRNA from 1 species